rnacentral:rRNA from 1 species
GACGAAGGGGGCUAGCGUUGUUCGGAAUUACUGGGCGUAAAGCGCGUGUAGGCGGUUGCCAAAGUCGGGUGUGAAAGCCUUGAGCUUAACUCAAGAAAUGCACUCGAUACUUGGUGACUAGAGGACCGGAGAGGAUAGUGGUAUUCCCAGUGUAGUGGUGAAAUACGUAGAGAUUGGGAAGAACACCAGUGGCGAAGGCGGCUAUCUGGACGGUUUCUGACGCUAAGACGCGAAAGCGUGGGGAGCAAACAGG